AUCAAAACGAAGAUGAGGAUAAGUAGCUUUGAAAAAGUUUUCCACAGAGAGCCGGGAAUUGCUGAGAACCGGCGGAACUUCACAGAGUGAACUCGCCUCAGAGUGCCGGUCUGAAAUGAGAGUAGGACUUGGCCGAGUGAACAUUGGUGUUUACUCGUUACCAAAACGGAUAGAAAUAUCCAUGAGACGGCUAUUUUACGGCCGUAAACAAGGGUGGUACCGCGGAAAGAAAAGCCUUUUCGCCCCUUUU
rnacentral:ncRNA from 1 species